rnacentral:lncRNA from 1 species
CAAGUCCGUGUACUGAACUUCAUUUGACGGCUCUCUCACUGCGGACGGACGCAGUCACUACGCUGUUGUGUUUAGGCCAUAUCUCUUUUCAAGCGAAAUUGUGAAAUUUUCGUGUAAAAUUAUUAUCUGACGUAUCAGUGAAUUGGGAGAACGUGGUGGAAAUAGUGGGUUAAAUUAACGGCUUAAGUUGGCUUCUUCCGAAGCGAUUACUUAGACAAUCUAAAUAAUAUCAUAAUUACACUUUGCCAAUUACACUCGCUGAACUAUUUAUAGCGUGCUUCCUGGUUAUAUGGAUACCUUAGACAAGAAAACUAUCGGUAUUGGUAUAGAAAAACGCCACGCAAUACAUGUAAGAGGUGUUCAGAGCAGAAUGCAACCUUGAUUCAAUCUCAAAUCGGAACGUUCAGUUUUUGUCCCGCUUUUAUUUUCGAGUUUCACCUCCUGUGUAUAAUCUUCUUGAUGCUGGAUUAUAGUACGUGACGCAAUCUAAUGAUACGAACCCACGGUAAUAGUGCGCCUUUUGUAAGAACGUACAAGUGUUAGACGAAAAGAUUUCGACUAUGGAAAUCUCAGGGUUUUACGUAAUUGGGAGUUCAGACAUCUAAACAUUCACAUAUGUAAUCAUGGAGAAAUUGAGAUGCUGGAUAUAACAAAGAUUUAUACAGUUGAUCUAUAAAAUAUAAUGGUUUUUGUUAAAUAAGUUCUGAAUAAUGAAUUUACAGCAAGCUUUGCCUGGUUAGCUAUGGAAAAUUAGGUGAAAUCAGAGACCGCACUAAUUUGAGUAGCAACCAAUUCCGCUCCGCUUUUCAGUAGAUGACGAGCUCACGACCACUCAUCAGCUAAAACCAGUCUAGGUGCAAACCUGGCGAUUUCGAACAAUAAUUCAUAUCCUUGUCGAGUUUUGAAUUAAACAAAGUAGUGUCACCUGCAGCGGAUUUCGGUCACGGUGUUCCUCAAGGUGGAGGCGCGAUUGAAACCGACCAGCCACAAACAUUUUUUCCGGGUACUGUUCCAUUCAACUUUUGUAAUUAUAUAUGUAAACACUUAUGUAUGGUUUGGUGCAUGCAGUAAAGUGGAAAUAUUCAAUGUAAGUGCGUAUAUAUAACAUACACACCAGUAUGCGGUCAUAGAAAAUGUUUAUUUAGAAUAAGUAUAAUAUUUAUGUCUUUAAUAUGUACAUACAUAUAUCUGAAAGUUUGGAAAUUCAUACAUGAAGGAAUAUUUUGAAUUUGUAGCUAUCUGCAAAAAGAAUAAACGUGCAUAGAAAGUU